rnacentral:rRNA from 1 species
AUGGCCGCCAAGUGCUACCCGACGGUCAGCGACGAGUACCUCGCGGCCGUCGCCAAGGCCAGGCGCAAGCUCCGCGGCCUCAUCGCCGAGAAGAACUGCGCGCCCCUCAUGCUCCGCCUCGCGUGGCACUCGGCCGGGACCUUCGACGUGGCCACCAAGACCGGCGGCCCCUUCGGCACCAUGAAGUGCCCCGCGGAGCUCGCGCACGGCGCCAACGCCGGCCUCGACAUCGCCGUCAGGCUGCUCGAGCCCAUCAAGGAGCAGUUCCCCAUCCUCUCCUACGCCGACUUCUACCAGCUCGCUGGAGUCGUCGCCGUCGAGGUCACCGGCGGGCCUGAGGUUCCCUUCCACCCGGGGAGACAGGACAAGCCCGAGCCUCCUCCAGAAGGCCGUCUUCCUGAUGCCACCCAAGGCUCUGACCACCUCAGGCAGGUGUUUUCCACUCAGAUGGGUUUGAGUGACCAGGACAUUGUUGCUCUUUCUGGUGGUCACACCCUGGGAAGAUGCCACAAGGAGAGAUCCGGCUUUGAGGGAGCAUGGACCGCCAAUCCUUUGAUCUUCGACAACUCUUACUUCACUGAGCUCCUGAGUGGAGAGAAGGAAGGCCUUCUUCAGUUGCCGACCGACAAGACCCUCCUGACCGACCCGGCCUUCCGCCCACUUGUGGACAAAUAUGCUGCGGAUGAGGAUGCGUUCUUUGCUGACUACGCUGAGGCACACCUCAAGCUCUCCGAAUUGGGAUUUGGCGAGGCGGGCUGCUGCUGA